UGCAAGUCGAACGAACUCUGGUAUUGAUUGGUGCUUGCAUCAUGAUUUACAUUUGAGUGAGUGGCGAACUGGUGAGUAACACGUGGGAAACCUGCCCAGAAGCGGGGGAUAACACCUGGAAACAGAUGCUAAUACCGCAUAACAACUUGGACCGCAUGGUCCGAGUUUGAAAGAUGGCUUCGGCUAUCACUUUUGGAUGGUCCCGCGGCGUAUUAGCUAGAUGGUGGGGUAACGGCUCACCAUGGCAAUGAUACGUAGCCGACCUGAGAGGGUAAUCGGCCACAUUGGGACUGAGACACGGCCCAAACUCCUACGGGAGGCAGCAGUAGGGAAUCUUCCACAAUGGACGAAAGUCUGAUGGAGCAACGCCGCGUGAGUGAAGAAGGGUUUCGGCUCGUAAAACUCUGUUGUUAAAGAAGAACAUAUCUGAGAGUAACUGUUCAGGUAUUGACGGUAUUUAACCAGAAAGCCACGGCUAACUACGUGCCAGCAGCCGCGGUAAUACGUAGGUGGCAAGCGUUGUCCGGAUUUAUUGGGCGUAAAGCGAGCGCAGGCGGUUUUUUAAGUCUGAUGUGAAAGCCUUCGGCUCAACCGAAGAAGUGCAUCGGAAACUGGGAAACUUGAGUGCAGAAGAGGACAGUGGAACUCCAUGUGUAGCGGUGAAAUGCGUAGAUAUAUGGAAGAACACCAGUGGCGAAGGCGGCUGUCUGGUCUGUAACUGACGCUGAGGCUCGAAAGUAUGGGUAGCAAACAGGAUUAGAUACCCUGGUAGUCCAUACCGUAAACGAUGAAUGCUAAGUGUUGGAGGGUUUCCGCCCCUUCAGUGCUGCAGCUAACGCAUUAAGCAUUCCGCCUGGGGAGUACGGCCGCAAGGCU
rnacentral:rRNA from 1 species